GACGAACGCUGGCGGUGUGCUUAACACAUGCAAGUCGAACGGUAAGGCCCUUUCGGGGGUACACGAGUGGCGAACGGGUGAGUAACACGUGAGUAACCUGCCCUCAUCUCUGGGAUAACAGUCGGAAACGGUUGCUAAUACUGGAUAUGAGCUUGCAAGGCAUCUUGUGGGUUGGAAAGAUUUUUUUUGGUUGGGGAUGGACUCGCGGCCUAUCAGCUUGUUGGUGAGGUAGUGGCUCACCAAGGCUUCGACGGGUAGCCGGCCUGAGAGGGCGACCGGCCACAUUGGGACUGAGAUACGGCCCAAACUCCUGCGGGAGGCAGCAGUGGGGAAUAUUGCACAAUGGACGGAAGUCUGAUGCAGCAACGCCGCGUGCGGGAUGACGGCCUUCGGGUUGUAAACCGCUUUCAAUUGUGACGAAGCUUUUUUGUGACGGUAGCAGUAGAAGAAGCACCGGCUAACUACGUG
rnacentral:rRNA from 1 species